rnacentral:rRNA from 1 species
CCUACGGGUGGCAGCAGUGGGGAAUAUUGGACAAUGGGGGGAACCCUGAUCCAGCCAUGCCGCGUGUGUGAAGAAGGCCCUCGGGUUGUAAAGCACUUUCAGUGAGGAAGAACGCCUGGUGGUUAAUACCCAUCAGGAAAGACAUCACUCACAGAAGAAGCACCGGCUAACUCCGUGCCAGCAGCCGCGGUAAUACGGAGGGUGCGAGCGUUAAUCGGAAUUACUGGGCGUAAAGCGCGCGUAGGUGGCUUGAUAAGCCGGUUGUGAAAGCCCCGGGCUCAACCUGGGAACGGCAUCCGGAACUGUCAAGCUAGAGUGCAGGAGAGGAAGGUAGAAUUCCCGGUGUAGCGGUGAAAUGCGUAGAGAUCGGGAGGAAUACCAGUGGCGAAGGCGGUCUUCUGGACUGACACUGACACUGAGGUGCGAAAGCGUGGGUAGCAAACAGGAUUAGAUACCCCUGUAGUC